rnacentral:rRNA from 1 species
AUUGAACGCUGGCGGCAGGCCUAACACAUGCAAGUCGAGCGAGCGGCGGACGGGUGAGUAAUGUAUGGGGAUCUGCCUGAUGGCGGGGGAUCACUACUGGAAACGGUAGCUAAUACCGCAUACCAUCAGAUGAACCCAUAUGGGCUUAGCUAGUAGGUGAGGUAACGGCUCACCUAGGCGACGAUCCCUAGCUGGUCUGAGAGGAUGAUAGGCCACACGGGGACGUAGACACGGCCCAGACUCCUACGGGAGGCAGCAGUGGGGAAUAUUGCACAAUGGGCGCAAGCCUGAUGCAGCCAUGCCGCGUGUAUGAAGAAGGCCUUCGGGUUGUAAAGUACUUUCAGUCGGGAGGCGUUACCGACAGAAGAAGAACCGGCUAACUCCGUGCCAGCAGCCGCGGUAAUUC